rnacentral:piRNA from 1 species
UAUAAAUAUUUUUCUCAGCUCUUAUUGGGCAC